rnacentral:lncRNA from 1 species
UAGAUUCAAUUAUAAGCUUAAGUGAAAAACAUUAAUUAAUAUUUAUGAAAUUAAAAUUACCAAAGCUAAAUAGCUAAUGCCGACGGCAGAACGUGUGCAUGGCAGCUAAACGUGUACGUUGGCCGUUGGCUGGCAAGCGGACGCGGUAGGACGGCAACAGAGGGCGGCUGGUUCACUUUGCGGCGUCGCAUAGCUGAUUGCGGCUGGAGUUGGAGCAAGCUACAGGCAGCACCCGACAGUGAGAAAAAUGGUUGAUUGGCUGGCGUUCAGCUGACUUAGGGUUUUUGUGAAUUUGUGUAAGUGUAUAUGGUGUGUGUGAUUUACGGUUUAGACUGAAGUGUGCGUGUGUGAUUUGUCAUAUGUGUUGUGUGUGUAUGUCAUGCAGAUGAGAUAUGUGUUGUGGGCGUGUGUGAUGUUGUGAUGUAUGCGUGUGUUAACUUGUGUUAGUUUUUUUUUUUUAAAUAGGGUG